GACGAACGCUGGCGGCGUGCUUAACACAUGCAAGUCGAACGGAAAGGCCCUGCUUGCAGGGUACUCGAGUGUCUAACUUUUUAUUCACACGUGGGUGCUCUGCCCUGCACUUCUGGAUAAGCCUGUGAAACUGGGUCUAAUACCGGAUAGGAGCCAUUUUUAGUGUGAUGGUUGUAAAGUUUUUUCGGUGUAGGAUGAGCUCGCGGCCUCUCCGCUUGUUGGUGGGGUAAUGGCCUACCAAGGCGGCGACGGGUAGCCGGCCUGAGAGGGUGGACGGCCACAUUGGGAAUGAGAUACGGCACAGACUCCUACGGGAGGCAGCAGUGGGGAAUAUUGCACAAUGGGCGCAAGCCUGAUGCAGCGACGAAGCGUGGGGGAUGACGGCCUUCGGGUUGUAAACGCCUGUAGCUAGGGACGAAGCUUUGUGUGACGGUACCUAGAUAAGAAGCACCGGCUAACUACGUG
rnacentral:rRNA from 1 species